GACGAACGCUGGCGGCGUGCUUAACACAUGCAAGUCGAACGGAAAGGCCCUGCUUUUGUGGGGUGCCCGAGUGGCAAACGGGUGAGUAACACGUGAGUAACCUGCCCUUUACUUGGGGAUAACUUCAGGAAACUGGUGCUAAUACCGGAUAGGAGCUCCUGCUGCAUGGUGGGGGUUGGAACGUUUGGGCGGUUGGGGAUGGACGCGCGGCUUAUCAGCUUGUUGGUGGGGGAGCGGCUUACCAAGGCUUUGACGGAUAGCCGGCCUGGGAGGGGGGCCGGCCACAUUGGGACUGAGAUACGGCGCAGACUCCUACGGGGGGCAGCAGUGGGGAAUAUGGCACAGUGGGCGGAAGCCUGAUGCAGAAGCGCCGCGUGCGGGAUGACGGCCUUCGGGUGGUAAACCGCUUUCGCCUGUGACGAAGCGUGAGUGACGGUAAUGGGUAAAGAAGCACCGGCUAACUACGUG
rnacentral:rRNA from 1 species